rnacentral:rRNA from 1 species
CAGUAGCCGCGGGAAUACGGAGGGAGCUAGCGUUGUUCGGAAUUACUGGGCGUAAAGCGCACGUAGGCGGCUUUGUAAGUUAGAGGUGAAAGCCCGGGGCUCAACCCCGGAAUUGCCUUUGAGACUGCAUCGCUUGAAUCCAGGAGAGGUGAGUGGAAUUCCGAGUGUAGAGGUGAAAUUCGUAGAUAUUCGGAAGAACACCAGUGGCGAAGGCGGCUCACUGGACUGGUAUUGACGCUGAGGUGCGAAAGCGUGGGGAGCAAACAGGAUUAGAUACCCGCGUAGUCCCUGUCUCUUAUAC